AUUGAACGCUGGCGGCAGGCUUAACACAUGCAAGUCGCGCGAGCGGCGGACGGGUGAGUAAUGUCUGGGAAACUGCCUGAUGGAGGGGGAUAACUACUGGAAACGGUCGCUAAUACCGCAUCCUCUCAGAUGUGCCCAGAUGGGAUUAGCGAGUAGGUGGGGUAAUGGCUAACCUAGGCGACGAUCCCUAGCUGGUCUGAGAGGAUGACCAGCCAGACUGGAACUGCGACACGGUCCAGACUCCUACGGGAGGCAGCAGUGGAGAAUAUUGCACAAUGGGCGCAAGGCUGAUGCAGCCAUGCCGCGUGUGUGAAGAAGGCCUUCGGGUUGUAAAGCACUUUCAGCGAGGAGGCGUUACUCGCAGAAGAAGCACCGGCGAACUCCGUGCCAGCAGCCGCGGUAAUUC
rnacentral:rRNA from 1 species